GGGUGUGAUCAUACCAGCACUAAUGCACCGGAUCCCAUCAGAACUCCGCAGUUAACCGUGCUUGGGCGAGAAUAGUACUAGGAUGGGUGACCUCCUGGGAAGUCCUCGUGUUGCACCCC
rfam:Corchorus capsularis cultivar CVL-1 contig06638, whole genome shotgun sequence.